UACGUAGGAGGCAAGCGUUGUCCGGAAUUACUGGGCGUAAAGCGCGUGUAGGUGGUGGGACAAGUCUGCUGUGAAAGCGCCUGGCUUAACCGGGCGAGGUCGGCGGAAACUGUCCGACUAGAGGACGGUAGAGGGGGGUGGAAUUCCCGGUGUAGUGGUGAAAUGCGUAGAGAUCGGGAGGAACACCUGUGGCGAAGGCGGCCCCCUGGGCCGGCCCUGACACUGAGACGCGAAGGCGUGGGGAGCGAACAGG
rnacentral:rRNA from 1 species